CUAGCGGGUGAACGAAAUGUCUUAGGACAACGAUUUUUUCAUCAGAUUAGCGCGCGUGGCGUCCGUCGGGUAUGUUCCGGUGACUACUUACUGGAGUUAAUGGAGUUAUGAAGUUUAACUUUAUGUGUUUAACGUGAAUACAUUUAGAAUCUCUGCGUGGAAUAGUAAAGAAGUGCGUAUCAUCAAUUCUACAUACAAUUUGCGGAAACGUGUUUGUGCGCCUUAUCCUUUAUUGAUAGAAAAACAAAGGAGUAAGUAGCAUCAAAUAAGAUUUUACUUUUAUUUAACAUUUUAAAUCUUACACCAUGUUAUUGCUUUAUAAUAAUUGAAAAUGAUUCAGUCAAUAAAGGCUACUUUAAUUUUA